GACGAACGCUGGCGGCGUGCCUAAUACAUGCAAGUCGAACGCUUUUUCUUUCACCGGAGCUUGCUCCACCGAAAGAAAAAGAGUGGCGAACGGGUGAGUAACACGUGGGUAACCUGCCCAUCAGAAGGGGAUAACACUUGGAAACAGGUGCUAAUACCGUAUAACACUAUUUUCCGCAUGGAAGAAAGUUGAAAGGCGCUUUUGCGUCACUGAUGGAUGGACCCGCGGUGCAUUAGCUAGUUGGUGAGGUAACGGCUCACCAAGGCAAAGAUGAAGAGCCGACCGGGUAGGGGGAUCGGCCACACGGGGACUGAGACACGGCCCAGACUCCGAUGGGAGGUAGCAGUAGGGAAUCUUCGGCAAUGGACGAAAGUCUGACCGAGCAACGCCGCGUGAGUGAAGAAGGUUUUCGGAUCGUAAAGCUCUGUUGUUAGAGAAGAACAAGGAUGAGAGUAAAACGUUCAUCCCUUGACGGUAUCUAACAAGAAAGCCACGGCUAACUACGUGCCAGCAGCCGCAGUAA
rnacentral:rRNA from 1 species